rnacentral:rRNA from 1 species
GGGGAAUAUUGGACAAUGGGCGCAAGCCUGAUCCAGCCAUGCCGCGUGAGUGAUGAAGGCCUUAGGGUUGUAAAGCUCUUUUAGCAGGGAAGAUAAUGACUGUACCUGCAGAAUAAGCUCCGGCUAACUUCGUGCCAGCAGCCGCGGUAAUACGAAGGGAGCUAGCGUUGUUCGGAAUCACUGGGCGUAAAGCGCACGUAGGCGGAUUUGUUAGUGAGGGGUGAAAUCCCGGGGCUCAACCUCGGAACUGCCUUUCAUACUGCAGAUCUCGAGUCCGAUAGAGGUGGGUGGAAUUCCUAGUGUAGAGGUGAAAUUCGUAGAUAUUAGGAAGAACACCGGUGGCGAAGGCGGCCCACUGGAUCGGUACUGACGCUGAGGUGCGAAAGCGUGGGGAGCAAAC